rnacentral:rRNA from 1 species
GAUGAACGCUGACAGAAUGCUUAACACAUGCAAGUCUUUGGCGAAGCUGUGCUUGCACAGCCUAGCCAAGGCGGACGGGUGAGUAACGCGUAAGGAACUUGCCCUGCAGUCAGGGAUAACAGACGGAAACGACUGAUAAGACCUGGUAAAGUCAGGCGGACUCAUGUCCAGCCUGAUGAAAAGAGAUGCUGCAGGAGAGCCUUGCGUCCUAUUAGCUUGUUGGUGGGGUAACGGCCCACCAAGGCGAUGAUAGGUAGCCGGCCUGAGAGGGUGGACGGCCACAAGGGGACUGAGAGACGGCCCUUACUCCUACGGGAGGCAGCAGUGGGGAAUAUUGGACAAUGGGGGCAACCCUGAUCCAGCAAUUCUGUGUGCACGAUGAAGGUUUUCGGAUUGUAAAGUGCUUUCAGCAGGGAAGAAAAAAUGACGGUACCUGCAGAAGAAGCGACGGCUAAAUACGUG